UGCUUAACACAUGCAAGUCGAACGGAAUCCUUAGGGAUUUAGUGGCGGACGGGUGAGUAACGCGUAAGAAUCUACCUUCAGGUUGGGGACAACCACUGGAAACGGUGGCUAAUACCGAAUGUGCCGAGAGGUGAAAGGCUUGCUGCCUGAAGAAGAGCUUGCGUCUGAUUAGCUAGUUGGUGUGGUAAAGGCGCACCAAGGCGACGAUCAGUAGCUGGUCUGAGAGGAUGAUCAGCCACACUGGGACUGAGACACGGCCCAGACUCCUACGGGAGGCAGCAGUGGGGAAUUUUCCGCAAUGGGCGAAAGCCUGACGGAGCAAUACCGCGUGAGGGAGGAAGGCUCUUGGGUUGUAAACCUCUUUUCUCAGGGAAGAAAAAAAUGACGGUACCUGAGGAAUAAGCAUCGGCUAACUCCGUGCCAGCAGCCGCGGUAAUACGGAGGAUGCAAGCGUUAUCCGGAAUGAUUGGGCGUAAAGGGUCCGCAGGUGGCAUUGUUUGUCUGCUGUUAAAGAGUCUGGCUCAACCAGAUCAAAGCAGUGGAAACUACAAAGCUAGAGUAUGGUCGGGGCAGAGGGAAUUCCUGGUGUAGCGGUGAGAUGCGUAGAUAUCAGGAAGAACACCGGUGGCGAAGGCGCUCUGCUAGGCCAAAACUGACACUGAGGGACGAAAGCUAGGGGAGCGAAUGGGAUUAGAUACCCCAGUAGUCCUAGCCGUAAACGAUGGAUACUAGGCGUAGCUCGUAUCGACCCGAGCUGUGCCGUAGCUAACGCGUUAAGUAUCCCGCCUGGG
rnacentral:rRNA from 1 species